CAGUCGCCGCGGUAAUACGUAGGGUGCAAGCGUUAUCCGGAAUUAUUGGGCGUAAAGAGAUCGUAGGCGGUCUGUCGCGUCUGCUGUGAAAACUGGGGGCUCAACCCCCAGCCUGCAGUGGGUACGGGCAGACUAGAGUGCGGUAGGGGAGAUUGGAAUUCCUGGUGUAGCGGUGGAAUGCGCAGAUAUCAGGAGGAACACCGAUGGCGAAGGCAGAUCUCUGGGCCGUAACUGACGCUGAGGAGCGAAAGCAUGGGGAGCGAACAGGAUUAGAUACCCGUGUAGUCCCUGUCUCUUAUAC
rnacentral:rRNA from 1 species